GGAAAGAUGUGAACCUAUCACUGAAAGCAAAAGCACUUGCCGCCUGCCUCGCUCGCUCGCUCUCUCUCUCAAUUUAUGUGCUUUGCACUCUCUCCUGCUGCUGAAUAAAUGCACACAUUUCCCAGGGACCCUCAGAUUCCCCUGUUAAUUAAAUCAAUUCAUUAUGCUCAGAUCUGAUUAGCAGCCCCUUCCCCCCCUCUUUGAAUCAAUUAUUCAAUACACAAACAUAAUUGCCUGUGCCAGAGGUGUCUAAGUAUUAGCUUAUUUAACUCCAAGGACACUAAUUACCCCUAGGGCAAGGGAACUUUUCUCAUUAAUUCUGACAAAACACAAAAGCACAGUUAAAGUGUGUGUGUAUAUACGUAUGUGAGAGAGAAGAUGGGGGAGCGCAUAGCAGAGGAAGGGAAGCAUUACUCUAACACACGUGUUACUGUAUAAAUAAGUUCAAUUUUCUUUCCAGCUUUGCAUUAGAUUUUCCCCCACAUCUUGCCUUUGCUAAACUUGCCCCGUCUACCUCUCUGUUUUUAACAUAAAGAACAGAUUGGCAUUGCAGUGAUGUCAGUUCUGGAGUGAAAGUGCUCUCAUCCAAAACUAAAAAGAAAAAUGUAUAUGGGACUGAUAGGGAGCUAAACAGAAUUUGAAAAUAGUUUAUUAAAGCAGAAAACUCUGUGGCAGACAAUCUUCUGUGAAAGGCGUAGCCCGCUGAAGCAGCAGGUAAGAUGAUACAUAAUCUAGUAUGUACUGGGAACAGUUCUGAAUUGUUUACCAUUUGAAUUAAUGUCAGUGCCCACUAUUAAUGUACUUGCUUCCUACGUUUACCAUAAUGGGUCUGAUUUCCAUUAGCUGAAACUGGAAUGCUAAAAAGAGCCCGGGCAAGACUGAUGCAAACCGAGAUCGACCAUCAUUGUGGUGUCUGAGACGCAUGACUUCUGGCUGGCGUGUUACCCAAGUUUUACCUCUCUGUGAACUUCCUUUAAACAAAAAAAAAAAAAUAAGAGUAGGAAAAAAGAAGUAGUAAUUGAUUCCCCCAAAUUAGGUUUUUACUUUCUAAAGACCUACUGUAUUGUUCAUGUCCUCAAUGUGCACAGAACUAUUGAAGAUUUUCUUUUUGUUUCCUUAGGCAAUGCAUGAGCUGAUCCAUUAAUCCAUUUGGCUUUAUAUAUCAGGAAAGUAAUAUUAGCUCAGCUCAUCUAUCAGCUUUUAUUUAGGUCCCACCAUGUUGCCUUUUUUUGGACUUCAGGCUGGUUCCCCUUGAGGGGAGACAGACAACUUUUGAUAGAUUUUAGGGGGGAUAAUGCUGCACAUCAUCUCAUGGGAACUGUCACGUCCUCAGUUCCCCAUCUUCACAUUCACCCCUGUCAAGAUACCCAUUAUUAAACUUGCAGUUUGGCAAUUCUACCCACUCUCUUUAAGGCACACCUUGCACAUAUCACCUAUAGCAAAGGGGGUCAAAAACCCCACAAGCACCUCCUCUUCACCCCUACAAAAAACCAAAACAAACCUGUAGCUAAGACUGCUUGGCAACAAAAAAUAAAUAUGACUGGGAACAUAAAGUUGUGUUUCAUUAGUGCAGUAUGUUUUUCUGUGAGUACACACAUACAAGGAUAAAAAUGCUUUCAGCUUUGUAACACAAUAAACCCUGUUAAUUCUCUGUUUUUUAAUUUCCACUGUGUGGCACAUACUGCACCCACAGGAACUUGGUCCCUCUAACUCCAUGAAUCUUUUUUUUUUUUCCUCCUUUGAAAGAACACAGCAGCACUUGAAAAAUACUGACCCUGGAGAACAUCAUGCAUCAGCUCAUUUCUGAGCAUGCUUUUGGUCCUUGAGCUCAUUCCUUUUCUCACUGUGGCCAAGGAGACUUAUGGGUGCAAAGCCAGAAUUUCAAGAUCUCGCUGACAGGAUUAAAAAAAUUUCAAAAUAAAACUGAAGGUGAUUAAGUCACGUGUGCCAGUCAGAAUCCCACGGUGAAGCAGCACCAGGCCAUACCGAAGAAUACCUUGCACAUGAAUCACUUGCACCUACCUUGCUGGUGUCAGAAGAGAGUGACCAUGGACCUGACCUCAUACCACAAUUCAGCAGCCCUGUAAAGGAGGAAAAUCACAAGUGCUCUGAAAAGUUAUGUUCACACAGAACACGGGUGGCA